AAUAUUGGACAAUGGGCGCAAGCCUGAUCCAGCAACGCCGCGUGGAGGACGAAGGUCUUCGGAUCGUAAACUCCUGUCAGACGGGACGAAGGGACCGAGGCAAAUAGUUUCGGUUCUUGACGGUACCGUCAGAGGAAGCCCCGGCUAACUCCGUGCCAGCAGCCGCGGUAAGACGGAGGAGGCUAGCGUUGUUCGGAAUUACUGGGCGUAAAGCGCGCGCAGGCGGCUUAGCAAGUUAGGGGUGAAAGCCCGGGGCUCAACCUCGGAACUGCCUUUGAGACUGCUAGGCUCGAGACCGAGAGAGGAGAGUGGAAUUCCCAGUGUAGAGGUGAAAUUCGUAGAUAUUGGGAAGAACACCAGUGGCGAAGGCGGCUCUCUGGCUCGGUACUGACGCUGAGGCGCGAAAGCGUGGGGAGCAAA
rnacentral:rRNA from 1 species